rnacentral:rRNA from 1 species
UAGGGAAUCUUCGGCAAUGGGGGCAACCCUGACCGAGCAACGCCGCGUGAGUGAAGAAGGUUUUCGGAUCGUAAAGCUCUGUUGUAAGUCAAGAACGGGUGUGAGAGUGGAAAGUUCACACUGUGACGGUAGCUUACCAGAAAGGGACGGCUAACUACGUGCCAGCAGCCGCGGUAAUACGUAGGUCCCGAGCGUUGUCCGGAUUUAUUGGGCGUAAAGCGAGCGCAGGCGGUUUGAUAAGUCUGAAGUUAAAGGCUGUGGCUCAACCAUAGUUCGCUUUGGAAACUGUCAAACUUGAGUGCAGAAGGGGAGAGUGGAAUUCCAUGUGUAGCGGUGAAAUGCGUAGAUAUAUGGAGGAACACCGGUGGCGAAAGCGGCUCUCUGGUCUGUAACUGACGCUGAGGCUCGAAAGCGUGGGGGAGCGAACAGGAUUAGAUACCCUGGUAGUCCACGCCGUAAACGAUGAGUGCUAGGUGUUGGAUCCUUUCCGGGAUUCAGUGCCGCAGCUAACGCAUUAAGCACUCCGCCUGGGGAGUACGACCGCAAGGUUGAAAC